rnacentral:pre_miRNA from 1 species
CCUGGGAUUGCUGGUUCAUAUGACAUGUUUAACUUUAUAAGAAACUGCCAAAUGGGGUUUUUUUCACAGUAUCUCUAUCAUUUUCAUCUCCAUUAGUGAU